CCUGCUUUUUCGCCUUCCGUCCUCCGGUCUGAGGACAUGGACCCCUGCUGCCCUCUGGAGGAGAGGGUGUGGACGCCCCCACCCCGGACUGUCCCGAUCGACCGGCCCACUCCUUUAAAAGGACCCGACGUCGUCUCUGGCCACUGCAGCUGCGCUUCCCCAGGAGUAGAGCACCGGCGUGCACCUCCCCCCUCGACUGCUGCCCACCUUUCUCUCCCUUUCUCACAAGUAGCUGAAGACACGCCCCUUCCGGCUGCUCGCCCUGCUGCUCUCACCGGCGUUCAAAACAUUCGGCGCGUUACUCUGCUUGGUGUUGUGUAGCCACAUUUGGGUUGCUAAAGAGGCUGUGUACCUGUGGUCGGGACGUGGUGUCGUCGGUGGUGGUGGUGGUCCCCCUCCCCGUGUGAAGUGUGAACCCUGGUGUUUUUGUUUUGCACGUGUGUGUGAUCUAUUUAUUUUUUUCUUUAUUCACUUGGUGACCUCUCCCUGGGCCCUGUUCCUCCCCUCCGUCGACACACCGCCACAUGGUAAGCAGACCUCUGACCCUUUGCACCCCUUUUAUCCUUAUUUUAUCAUGUGUUAAUUGAUUUUAAUUAGUGGUGUAAAUAAAAUUGGAUUAUUGUACGGGAACAACACGUCUCUCGCUUCAUGAUAUAUGGACCUGUGUGCCUCAACGUGCUUUUAAGAGGCAAAGACUUUCCUUGGGGGCUCUCUCCCCAAGGUGGCGUUGUCAAGCUCCACUUAGAAGUUAGCCCUCCUAGCUGCUACGGCGCUCGCCACACUGUGUAAUGUUGGUGGUGGUCAGAGGGGUUGUAGGAGUGGAUUGGCAGCCAGUUAGUCUGCCCCAGGGCAGCUGUGGCUAAAAAUGUAGGUCUACCAGCUAUAGUGCACUGCAAAACACUGAAAUACAGCGAUUAGAGGUAGAAAUAAAUAAAUUAAACUAAGUUCUACAAUAGUGAAAAACCUAUACAUCUUUCUGGGGUCAUAAGUGACCCCAGACAAGUUUCCAUUAUCCUUGUCACACCAGUUGGCCGAUCUCUACAAAAAACUAUGAGCAGCUGUAGGACAAGUAGAUUGACAAAUUCAUGGUAGGAAACAUUUUUCGGAUAAAAGAUAUAAAAACGGCAAAUAUAAUUAUAUUGCUGGGGUCAUAAAUGACCCCACUCGGUCGC